UCAUCUCCUUGGUUGACUGACAGACUUCAGUUCGGGUUGUGCUUCAAGAACCAGCACAAAUGGCACCUCCUUUAUUCAGUUAUUUACCUGAACUCCCACAAUAGAGUGAAAUUUGCACAUACCUUAAUCAGAACAAAUGGAUUUCUGUAGAUAUUCCUUGGAUUUGUUAUGGAUUUAUGCUUGUGCAUCAUGAGCCUAUUGAAGAUUCGACAGGCCUCUGUGCUGGCAGCUUCAGAAAUGCCUUUGGGCUUGUCACAUGUUGAAAACUCCCAACUGGCUGUCUGAAUUGGCAACCAUGCUUUGGCUCACUGGAGAGAAGAGAGAAAUGGUGCUUUUUGUCCAUCUACUGAUAACCUCUCAUGGCAGAUCAAAGGAACCAGGUUUUGAUGACUUACAGCUCACACAAGGUCAUCCUGGGAAAACAGAUCCUGAGAAGUACUGCAGAGCUUGUGAAGUACUGCACUGGCUGGUGUCUGGAUUCUAGAGUUUAUGAUCUGCUCCAAAGCCAGAGAGGUGAUGACUAGAAGAAAAUCCUGGAGAUCCUGGAUGUGGAGGAGCCACAUGAUGGAAGGAAUGUGGAUCCAAUCACUCUUGGAGAAGAGCCACUGACUGGAAUUGGACUGUGAGAAUUCAAGACCACACUCUGAGCUCAUGAAACACAUUUCCUGCCCCAAGAGUUUUGAAGAGCAGAAAAUGGUGCCUGCAGAAUAGAAAGAUAUCCUGGAGCUGGGAUUAGACACCGCUGCUAUGGGUUACCUCCUAUUUCUGGCUUCUGCAUAAUCUGUCUUCUCUCUCCUCAGAACCUUGGCAUUCUUCUCUUUAUCACAAUUCAUUGCCAGGAGAGGAAAGAAUGAUGAUUGUUUUCAAAUGAUAUGGGGAAUGUAAAGCACAUUGGGAAUAGAAUGUCAUGCCCAGGAUUUCCAAACAGAGAGGGCUUUUGCAAUUAUGAGCACAAAGUAGGCAACUCAAUGCAGACUGCAUGUUUCUGCAGUUGAAAUCUCGGCUUUCCUUCUGUCCUGUAUUUCCAUGUGGGACAUGCUGAAAACUAUAUGUCUCCUCUGUUCUAGCACCUUACUAGUUUUUGAUUUUCCCCCUGUAAAAUAAGAUACCAGUUUACAAGACCCUCUACAAAAUUACAAGUCUGCCUUGGCAUUGGAAUGGGAGCAACUCCUUCUGUUAAAGGUAUUUAACAUUCAUCAUUUAUCAUGAGUGUGCAGGGUAGUUAGAAAACCGUGAUAUACAAGGCUGUGAUGUCCCUGGUCUAGAAUUAAGAAACUAAUUGAGCAAAUGUGACCAAGGAGAGCAGCAUGCGUAAGGGGUGCAAUUAAAGAAAUAAUAAGCUAGAGACGUGCUUGAGAAGUAGAACAUGGCCAUCAAAUUGCAAGGGGGUAGAGGGAUUAACAGUAAAUCAAGAUCUUUGGAUCAAGUAAAAUGGGGACAAUGGAAAGCACAAGCUCCCAGCUCCACAGCAAAGGCAAGACUCACUUCAAUUAAGCAAGGUAAGAAUUGUGAGUCUAGACACGCCCUAUUUUGCUUAAGAUUCUAAUUGAGACCCACAUCCUAUCUUCAAAGCCACUUUUCCUUUAAAGUUCUCAUGUAGGUUAAAAUAACUCAUUAGACUUUUGUUAGUCAUUGACCUAUAAAUGCAGUUACAUGGUAAUUGCUCCUGGUCCACUUAACUUAAUCAUUUGAUUGUGUCUCUAUGCUUCAGAAGAUUGCACCUACUGGGUUAUGACUUUUAACAUCUUUUAAGAAAAAACACCUUUUGCUGUAUAAUUUACAUGCAAUAAACUGCCCAUUUUAAAGUAUACAACAUAUAUUUAUUGAUGUAUGUAUACAACUGUGAAACCAUCACAGCAAUCAAGAGAGUGAAUAUACCUGCCACCUCCUAAAGUUUCAUCAUGUCCCUUGGCAAUCUUUCCAUCCUGUCCUUCCCUGACCCCCACCUCCAGUAACCCCUGAUCUGCUUUCUGUCACUAGCAAUUAGUUUACAUCUUCUUCUUGCUUAUAUAAAUGGAAUCGUAUAUUAUGUGUUCUUUCUUUGACUGAAUCCUUUCAGCAUAAUUAUUUUGAGAUUUAUACAUGUUGUUGCAUGGAUUAAUAGUCUCUUUUUAUAUUGCAGAGUAGCAUUUCAUUGUGUAGAUAUAUAUUAUAAUUUGUUUAUCCUUGUGCCUGUUGAUGGGUAUUUGAGUUGUUUUCAGUUUGGGGCAAUUAAAAAUAAAGCUUCUAUGAA
rnacentral:lncRNA from 1 species